UACAGAGGGGGCAAGCGUUAUUCGGAAUUAUUGGGCGUAAAGGGCGCGUAGGCGGCAUGGCAAGUGGAUGGUGAAAUCCCUCGGCUUAACCGAGGAACUGCCGUCCAAACUGCUUCGCUUGAGAUCGGGAGAGGUGAGUGGAAUUCCCGGUGUAGUGGUGAAAUGCGUAGAUAUCGGGAGGAACACCAGUGGCGAAGGCGACUACCUGGCCUGUUCUUGACGCUGAGGCGCGAAAGCUAGGGGAGCAAACGGG
rnacentral:rRNA from 1 species